rnacentral:rRNA from 1 species
UGGGGAAUUUUGGACAAUGGGCGAAAGCCUGAUCCAGCAAUGCCGCGUGUGUGAAGAAGGCCUUCGGGUUGUAAAGCACUUUUGUCCGGAAAGAAAUCCUUGGCUCUAAUACAGUCGGGGGAUGACGGUACCGGAAGAAUAAGCACCGGCUAACUACGUGCCAGCAGCCGCGGUAAUACGUAGGGUGCAAGCGUUAAUCGGAAUUACUGGGCGUAAAGCGUGCGCAGGCGGUUUGCUAAGACCGAUGUGAAAUCCCCGGGCUCAACCUGGGAACUGCAUUGGUGACCGGCAGGCUAGAGUAUGGCAGAGGGGGGUAGAAUUCCACGUGUAGCAGUGAAAUGCGUAGAGAUGUGGAGGAAUACCGAUGGCGAAGGCAGCCCCCUGGGCCAAUACUGACGCUCAUGCACGAAAGCGUGGGGAGCAAACAGGAUUAGAUACCCUGGUAGUCCACGCCCUAAACGAUGUCAACUAGUUGUUGGGGAUUCAUUUCCUUAGUAACGUAGCUAACGCGUGAAGUUGACCGCCUGGGGAGUACGGUCGCAAGAUUAAAACUCAAAUGAAUUGACGGGGUCAUAGCUGUUUCCUG